rnacentral:rRNA from 1 species
UACGUAGGGUCCGAGCGUUGUCCGGAAUUAUUGGGCGUAAAGGGCUCGUAGGCGGUUUGUCACGUCGGGAGUGAAAACUCAGGGCUCAACCCUGAGCGUGCUUCCGAUACGGGCAGACUAGAGGUAUGCAGGGGAGAACGGAAUUCCUGGUGUAGCGGUGGAAUGCGCAGAUAUCAGGAGGAACACCGGUGGCGAAGGCGGCUCUCUGGGCCUGUCCUGACGCUCAGGCGCGAAAGCUAGGGGAGCAAACAGG